rnacentral:rRNA from 1 species
UACGGGGGGGGCAAGCGUUGUUCGGAAUCAUUGGGCGUAAAGCGCGUGUAGGCGGCCAGAAAAGUCCGCUGUGAAAACUCGAGGCUCAACUUCGAGCUGUCGGUGGAAACUUUCUGGCUAGAGUCCGGAAGAGGAGAAUGGAAUUCCUGGUGUAGCGGUGAAAUGCGCAGAUAUCAGGAAGAACACCCGUGGCGAAGGCGGUUCUCUGGGACGGUACUGACGCUGAGACGCGAAAGCGUGGGGAGCGAACAGG